UACAGAGGUCUCAAGCGUUGUUCGGAUUCAUUGGGCGUAAAGGGUGUGUAGGUGGCGCCGUAAGUCGGGUGUGAAAUUUCGGAGCUUAACUCCGAAACUGCAUUCGAUACUGCGGUGCUUGAGGACUGGAGAGGAGACUGGAAUUCAUGGUGUAGCAGUGAAAUGCGUAGAUAUCGUAAGGAAGACCAGUGGCGAAGGCGAAUCUCUGGACAGUUACUGACACUGAGGCACGAAGGCCAGGGGAGCAAACGGG
rnacentral:rRNA from 1 species